CCUACGGGAGGCAGCAGUAGGGAAUAUUGCGCAAUGGGGGCAACCCUGACGCAGCAACGCCGCGUGAUUGAUGAAGGUCUUCGGAUUGUAAAAAUCUUUAAUCAGGGACGAAAAACGACGGUACCUGAAGAAUAAGCUCCGGCUAACUACGUGCCAGCAGCCGCGGUAAUA
rnacentral:rRNA from 1 species